GUGCAUGCGCUCUACCAUGCAGUCGAGCGGUAAGGCCCUUCUGGGUACCGAGCGGCGAAUGGGUGAGUAACACGUGGGUGACCUGCCCUCAUCUCUGGGAUAAGCCCGGGAAACUGGGUCUAAUACCGGAUAUGACCUCGCGUCGCAGGGCGUGUGGUGGAAAGUUUUUCAGCUGGGGAUGGGCCCGCGGCCUAUCAACUUGUUGGUGGAGUGAUGGCCUACCAGAGAGGAGACGGGUAGCCGGCGCUGACAGGGCGACCGGCCACACUGGGACUGAGACACGGCCCAGACUCCUACGGAAGGCAGCAGUGGGGAAUAUUGCGCAAUGGGCGGAAGCCUGACACAGCGACACCGCGUGGGGGAUGACGGCCUUCGGGUUGUAAACCUCUUUCGACCGGAACGAAGCGAGAGUGACGGUACCGGUAGAAGAAGCACCGGCCAACUACGUGCCACCAUCCGCGGUAAUACUUAGGGUGCGAGCGUUGUCCGGAAUUAUUGGGCGUAAAGAGCUCGUACGCGGUCUGUCGCGUCGAUCGUGAAAACUUGCGGCUUAACCCUGAUCGUGCGGACGAUACUGGAAUGACUUGAGUUCAGCAGGGGAGACUGGAAUUCCUGGUGUACCGGUGAAAUGCGCACAUAUCACGAGGAACACCGGUGGCGAAAGCGGGUCUCUGGGCCGAUACUGACGCUAAGGAUCGAAAGCGUGGGGAGCGAACAGAUUAGAUACCCUGGUAUCCACGCCGUAAACGUGGGCGCUAAGUGUGGGGGCCAUUCCCGGUCUCUGUGCCCAGCUAACGCAUUAGCGCCCGCCUGGGGAGUACGGCCGCAGGCUAAACUCAACGAAUUGACGGGGCCCGCAAAGCGGCAGACCUGUGGAUUAUUCGAUGCACGCAACAACUUACCUGGGUUGACUGCACCAACGACUGAGAGACAGGUUCCCUGUGGUCGCGUGCAGGGGUGCUGGCUGACUCCGCUCUGUCGGAAAUGUUGGGUUAGUCCCGCACUAGGCAACCCUGUUCGAGUUGCAGGCAUAUGCCGGGAAUCUGGGAA
rnacentral:rRNA from 1 species